CAACUACUCCCUCUGUCCCAAAUUUCUUGUCUUAGAUUUGUCUAGAUACAGAUGUAUCUAAUACUAAAAUGUGACUUGAUACAUCCGUAUCUAGACAAAUCUAAGAAAAGAAUUUUGGGACGGAGGGAGUAAUUU
rnacentral:pre_miRNA from 1 species